GACGAACGCUGGCGGCGUGCUUAACACAUGCAAGUCGAACGGAAAGGCCCUGCUUUUGUGGGGUGCUCGAGUGGCGAACGGGUGAGUAACACGUGAGUAACCUGCCCUUGACUUUGGGAUAACUUCAGGAAACUGGGGCUAAUACCGGAUAGGAGCUCCUGCUGCAUGGUGUGGGUUGGAAAGUUUCGGGGGUUGGGGAUGGACUCGCGGCGUAUCAGCUUGUUGGUGGGGUAGUGGCUUACCAAGGCUUUGACGGGUAGCCGGCCUGGGCGGGUGACCGGCCACAUUGGGACUGAGAUACGGCCCAGACUCCUACGGGAGCAAGCAGUGGGAAAUAUUGCACAAUGGGCGGAAGCCUGAUGCAGAAACGCCGCGUGCGGGAUGACGGCCUUCGGGUUGUAAACCGCUUUCGCCUGUGACGAAGCGUGAGUGACGGUAAUGGGUAAAGAAGCACCGGCUAACUACGUG
rnacentral:rRNA from 1 species